rnacentral:rRNA from 1 species
AGAUAAUAGAUACCCUGGUAGUCCCAGCAGUAAACGGUGCGCGUUUGGUGUGAGCAGGUUCGACCCUGUUCGCGCCGGAGCUAACGCGUUAAACGCGCCGCCUGGGAAGUACGAUCGCAAGAUUAAAACUCAAAGAAAUUGACGGGGGCCCGCACAAGCGGUGGAGUAUGUGGCUUAAUUCGAUGCAACGCGAAGAACCCUUACCUGGAUUUGACAUGCAUCUCUAAGGCGGUGAAAGCCGUCGAGGGUAGCAAUACCCAAUUUGCACAGGUGCUGCAUGGCUGUCGUCAGCUCGUGUCGUGAGAUGUUGGGUUUAAGUCCCGCAACGAGCGCAACCCCUGUAUGCUGUUGCCUUUCUCUGAAAGGCUCUCUGCAUAGACUGCCCCGGUGAAACCGGGGGUAGGAAGGUGGGGAUGACGUCAAGUCAGCAUGGCCCUUACAUCCAGGACUGCACACGUACUACAAUGCCCAGCACAAUUCGAGCCGAGCCUGCGAAGUCUCGGAAACUCAAUAAAACCUGGGCCCA